CAGGAUUAGAAGAGAGAAAAGUACCGCUGAGCCGGAGCUCCUGGAAUUGACUGCCCGCCCGUAUGUAAGGUCUGCGUGGGAAUGGAUGCUGCUUCUAUGCUUCGAGACUCAUACGCACCAUUGUGUGGAGGACUAAGUAGAGGAAACAUCGGCGGAAUUGCUAAGCAGAGCUUCUAGAAAGUGCAUAUACCACUUCCACGUGCCUGUGCGCACGCGUCCUGCCGCCUCCGGCACAGAACAAACACGGCCGUACUUUCCACGAUUGGCCACACGGGGGCAGCAGAGACUGCGGAAACUCCUUCCCAACCCGGCUGACGGCCCGCCGGGAACUGCGGCGGGGUUUCGUUUCUCUCUUUCCUUGGAUAGCAGAGGAAAGAAAUAACCACAGAAGAGGAAGGGGUCGGAGAAUGGGAGACGACGAAGAAAACCAAGGAAAACUUCGAUAGACACACCAGACCGGUGUGAAGUGCUUAUGAAUACCUGUAAAUAAACAAAUAAGCAGCAAAAUCAUGUUCUAAUGCCUUUUUAGAAAAUAUUAUUACUUUUUUUUAGCGAGCAUCUGAGGUGAUGAAAAAAACAUGGUAUCAACCAGACAGGCACACAGAGAAGCCACGAAUGGCCCUUAAAUGAGGUCGGGGAGGGGUGGCGUCAGGCUCAGCCCAUGUGAUCCCACAGCUGAAUUCCUUCCACAGCCGCCCCAUAGAGCCCCACAGCCGCCCCAUAGAGCCCCAUAGAGCCCCAUAGCCGCCCCAUAGAGCCCCAUAGAGCCCCAUAGAGCCCCAUAGAGCCCCACAGCCGCCCCAUAGAGCCCCAUAGAGCCCCAUAGAGCCCCACAGACCCCCAUAGAGCCCCAUAGAGCCCCAUAGCCGCCCCAUAGAGCCCCAUAGAGCCCCAUAGAGCCCCAUAGAGCCCCACAGCCGCCCCAUAGAGCCCCAUAGAGCCCCAUAGAGCCCCAUAGAGUCCUAUAGAGCCCCAUAGAGCCCCAUAGAGCCACAUAGAGCCCCACAGCCGCCCCAUAGAGCCCCACAGCCGCCCCAUAGAGCCCCAUAGAGCCCCACAGCCACCCCAUAGAGCCCCAUAGAGCCCCACAGCCGCCCCAUAGAGCCCCAUAGAGCCCCAUAGAGUCCUAUAGAGCCCCAUAGAGCCCCAUAGAGCCCCACAGCCGCCCCAUAGAGCCCCACAGCCGCCCCAUAGAGCCUUAUAGAGCCCCACAGCCACCCCAUAGAGCCCCAUAGAGCCCCACAGCCGCCCCAUAGAGCCCCAUAGAGCCCCAUAGAGCCCCAUAGCCGCCCCAUAGAGCCCCAUAGAGCCCCACAGCCGCCCCAUAGAGCCCCAUAGAGCCCCAUAGAGCCCCAUAGCCGCCUCCAUAGAGCCCCAUAGAGCCCCAUAGAGCCCCAUAGCCGCCCCAUAGAGCCCCAUAGAGCCCCAUAGCCGCCCCAUAGAGCCCCAGAGAGCCCCAUAGAGCCCCAUAGAGUCCCAUAGCCGCCCCAUAGAGCCCCAUAGAGCCCCAUAGAGCCCCAUAGAGUCCUAUAGAGCCCCAUAGAGCCCCAUAGAGCCCCACAGCCGCCCCAUAGAGCCCCAUAGAGCCCCAUAGAGCCCCAUAGAGCCCCAAGACCAGUUUGCAUUCACGUGGGAGGGCAGGCAGUGGACUUUUCAAGUUCUACCUCAGGGGUACGUGCAUUCACCUACUUUUUG
ensembl:lncRNA